AGCAAUUGGAAAAGUUUGCCAAGCCAUUCGAGGUUUUGGCCUCAGCGAUUAUAGCAAUUCCUAUUGAUUUUCCAGGGACACCCUUCAACCGCGGGAUCAGAGCAUCAAAUUUGGUGAGAAAGGAGCUGGCAAAGAUUAUCAAGCAAAGGAAGAUUGAUCUAGCGGAGAACAAGGCAUCUCCAACACAAGAUAUACUGUCUCACAUGCUAACCACGGCAGACGAGAACGGGCAGUACAUGAAUGAAA
rnacentral:misc_RNA from 1 species